CAUUCCUGUUACAGAGAGUUUCCAGCGGACCACAGAAGCUGCACAUUCCUCUGUAGACGCGGACGGUGGACUUCGCCGAGCGGCAGGUUGUUUGACGUGGGCUGAAAAACAGAAGUUUCAUGUCAGUUUCCGUGUCAGCAGGGUAGUGCCGCUGCUCGUGCGCUUCAGCGACAGUAGCUGUUAACUGCAGGUGGAAGUGGACCCGGGACACGGUGGGAAAUGGACCGCGAGAAGCAUUCGGAGUGUGUAACGUUACCUGCUCGUUUUCAGGGAGUGUGACGGACUGACUGGGAGUUUCAUUUCAGUGGUUUUGGCCAUGGCGGGCUGCUCUCAGUGGUGCCACCGCAUGUGUGUGUGCUUUCUAUCCGAGGAGGAGAAGACGACCAUCGCUGUGGACAGAGAGAUCGAGAGGAUCCUCAAGCAGCAGAAGAAGAAGCAGAGAAGGGAAAUUAAAAUUCUCCUGCUGGGUACUGGGGAGAGCGGAAAAACCACCUUCAUCCGACAGAUGAGGAUCAUCCACGGACGAGGCUUCUCAGAGGAGGAGAGGAGGACCUUUGCCAAAUGCAUCUUCCAGAACAUCCUCACAGCCAUGAAGGCCAUGAUAGGAGCCAUGGCCGCACUCAAUAUCCCCUACUUCAACCCUGAGAAUGAGAUCUACGCCAAGUGGCUGCAGGACAUAAACACAGUGCAGAUCCGCCAACUGGAGCGCGGCUACGUUGACGCAAUCCGCCGCCUCUGGGCAGAUUCGGGCAUCCGGGUCUGUUACAGCCGUCGCUGCGAGUACCAGCUCCUGGACUCCACUGAGUACUACAUGAGUAACCUGGACCGCAUCGCCGCCCCAGACUACAUCCCCACAGAACAGGACGUGCUGCGAGUACGAUUCCCCACCACGGGCAUCCAUGACUACUCCUUCAUCAUCAAGACCAUCACACUAAGGAUUGUGGACGUGGGCGGUCAGAAGUCGGAGCGUCGGAAGUGGAUUCACUGUUUUGAAAACGUCACCUCCCUCAUCUUCCUGGCCUCCCUCAGCGAGUACGACCAGGUCCUGGAGGAGAGAGAGACCAUUAACCGUAUGCAUGAGAGUCUGGCUCUGUUCUACACCACCAUCCAUUCUCCUUGGUUCUCAAACACCUCCAUCAUCCUCUUCCUCAACAAGACUGACAUCCUGGCUGACAAAGUCCUGACCUCUGACCUGCAGAAAUACUUCCCCAGCUUCACGGGUAACAGAUGUGACCCCGAGGACGCCAAGAACUACAUCCGCAAGUUGUACGAGCAGCAGGCCACCAACCGCGACAACAGGGACGAGUGGAAGACUCUCUACCCGCACUUCACCUGCGCCACAGACACCAGCAACAUACGCAGGGUCUUCAGCGACGUCAAGGACACGGUGCUGCUCAAGUCUCUCAGGGACUACGGAGUCAUCUGAACAUUUACACAGUGGUAAAAAGACAGGAGGAAAACAGUGGUUCUAGACUCUCUUGGCACUAUUUACUUCUACUGAUGAAGGCCAAAAUGUUACUUCUUUUUCUACGUUCUUUCUUAAACAACAAUCAGACCAUCCUCCAUGCUUCUGUCCACCCCUCCUCCGCUUCUCCCUCAUCAGGUCUUAAUGAAGAAACAAAGGGACAAGUUUGUACUCCUAUCUCACCUUCACCACCCCACUCUCUUCCUCUUCUUUCUCUCAAGUAGAAAGCAUGAAGAUGGUUAGAGAGAUUGGGAGACACAACAAGCCUUAAAUUACUUCUGAUACCCCCGCACCCCUCCCCUCCAUUUUGAGUGUCUGGGUGAUGCAGUGACUGAAUUAAACCAUAACUGAACUGAUGCUGUGAAGUGUUGUGCUGCCAUUAACGGAGUAAUGACUUUUACCAGUGCACGGCAGCUGAAUUCUCACAACGUCACACAAAAAUCCAUCUCUCAGGCUUCACGUAAUGUGUUUGUGUCCGAACCACCGGCGGUUUGGACCAAUCAGCGUCCUGUGAGGAGCUACUGGCAGCUACGGCCGUUAUUUAAGUGUGUGUGAUGUCACAGAUAGGCCGACUGGAGAGUAUUUUUUCAUUGAAGGAUGAGCAAAGAAUGGCACUGAAGGCUUUUCUCGAUGGAAAAGGUAUUUUCCCCUUCUCCUGACUGGCUUCGGCAAGAGUUAGAUGGAAUGAUUGUUCAUCCAAUCACCUGCCAAGUAUUUUUUUGAAAGUGCCUGCCCUUUUCCAAACAUUUUCCAAUGACGGCUUCUCUGAUGGUUCUGUGUAACAAACCAUCUAGCGCGUCAGGUUAGGGUACACCAACCUGUCACUCACAUCUUAAACACUUUAUUUGAAUCCAGCAGGUACAUUCAGGUUCAAACACCAACUGUAAACACACAGUUUACACACAGUUUCUAUUAUUAAGAUAAUGGCAAUACAUGAUUUACAAUCUUUUAUUAUCAGACAUCCUGAAUCUGGGGAUUUUCUCUCUGUGAUUAACAUCACCACAGAGUCUUCGCUUGUUUCACAAACACUGCACUCCUGUCAGAGAGCCAACAUCCCUAUUGAUUACAGGUAUCUCACACUGGCAAUAUUCCUAUCUGUCUCCAUCAAUUAUUGUGUGCAAAAAGAUUGUCUAAAAGGAAAGUGAAAGAAUGCUAAUGUUGCUCCGUAACUGUUUGAUGUGUGAAUGGGCGACUGUUUGCUAACGAGUUCGGCAUAUCAAAUUAAAAGGUGUCAUGUUUAUUGAGAUUGUUUCUUAAUGGGCCCAAAGUGCCCAAAAAAACAGGUAAAGCUGGUUUUAGUUCCUAAAUGUCUAUUUUUCAAUAUUUUAAGAUGCAAUUGGUCAUAGUCUCUAAAGUGUGCUUUUCAACAUUCAGUUUUAACACACAGCAAUAAAGCCAGCAGCAGAUUCUACACCAUUUACCGCAAUUAAUAAACUACAUUAAAAUAAAUACCAUACAUUUGAGCACAAAUCACAGUUGGAGGCUGACAGGUUUUAAAAGGUCACAAGUGAAGGAAAUGAGACCUGUCUGAGAAAACAGCUCGAUUCACACGGCGAGUUCAAAUCAAUAAUGGUGAAAAAAACAAUCCAACAGCCGAUCCACUGGGUAAAGGAUAUUAAUAUGAGGUGGCAGUGUAAACUCUAUUCAUACCAGUGUGGGGAGUGGAAUUUUAUAAUAUUGAUUAGAUGUGUUAGUUCUGCUCCCCAGUGUGCGUCAUUGAGUGUUGAGUGGAAAAUUACAUUGGAAUUCAUUAAAUUAAAGGACCUAUGGGAGGUGAACGUUAGCUCACAAUGUGUCUGUUCUGUGGUUUCGGCUGCUCUUUUGUUAACUGCAUAUAAAGUAUUUUUCACAAUUUGACUGUACAUUUACUGAUGACUACUUUUUAAGUUGACUACUUUUGAUUUUUGACUUUUUGAGUUUUAACUGCUGUGUUUUUUUAAACUGUUUACCAGCAGCACAAACUGUGAUUGUCUAGUGAACUACUUUUUCAGCAUUGGGAGACGUCCUCUCAUACGAUGACAGUGUAUUAUUUUGUGUAGACUCGGGUGGAGGAAAUGGGCUAAUAUUUGUUUUUCUAGUUAAUAUUAAAAACAAACUUUUAAACACACA